GCCCAACUUUAUAAACUGGAGGAAGAGAGGCUAUGUUACCCCUGUGCGGAGACAGGGAAGAUGUAAUGCUUGUUGGGCUUUUUCUGUGGCUGGUGCCAUAGAAGGACAGAUGUUCCGGAAAACAGGUCAACUGAUCCCUCUGAGUGUACAGAACCUGGUGGACUGCUCUAGAACUCAAGGCAACCUGGGCUGUUAUUUAGGCAAUACAUACUUUGCAUUGCAGUAUGUGAAGGAAAAUGGAGGUCUGGAAUCUGAGGCAACUUAUCCAUAUGAAGGAAAGGAAGGAUCCUGCAGGUACCAUCCAGAUAAUUCUACUGCUAGUAUCGCAGGCAUUGAGUUUGUCCCAAAGAAUGAGCAUGCAUUAAUGAAUGCUGUGGCGACACUAGGGCCCAU
rnacentral:lncRNA from 1 species